GACGAACGCUGGCGGCGUGCUUAACACAUGCAAGUCGAACGGAAAGGCCCUGCUCUUGUGGGGUGCUCGAUUGGCGAACGGGUGAGUAACACGUGAGUAACCUGCCCUUGACUUUGGGAUAACUUCAGGAAACUGGGGCUAAUACCGGAUAGGAGCUCCUGCUGCAUGGUGGGGGUUGGAAAGUUUCGGCGGUUGGGGAUGGACUCGCGGCUUAUCAGCUUGUUGGGGGGGUAGUGGCUUACCAAGGCUUUGACGGGUAGCCGGCCUGAGAGGGUGACCGGCCACAUUGGGACUGAGAUACGGCCCAGACUCCUACGGGAGGCAGCAGUGGGGAGUAUUGCACAAUGGGCGGAAGCCUGAUGCAGAAACGCCGCGUGCGGGAUGACGGCCUUCGGGUUGUAAACCGCUUUCGCCUGUGACGAAGCGUGAGUGACGGUAAUGGGUAAAGAAGCACCGGCUAACUACGUG
rnacentral:rRNA from 1 species